GACCUCAUUCUAUAUGCCCGUGGGCCCUGGCAUCCAGAGGUGGUGAAUGUGGCCACAUUGACACACAGGCAUGCUUCCAUCACAGUAGGCUCAUUGCUGAGGUAACAAUGGGACCUGUGACAUGC